rnacentral:rRNA from 1 species
AUACGGAGGGUGCAAGCGUUAUUCGGAAUCACUGGGCGUAAAGGGUGCGUAGGCGGUUUGAUAAGUCUGAUGUGAAAUCCUAUGGCUCAACCAUAGAACUGCAUUGGAAACUGUCAGACUAGAAUACUGAAGGGGCAGAUGGAAUUAGUGGUGUAGGGGUAAAAUCCGUAGAUAUCACUAGGAAUACCGAAAGCGAAAGCGAUCUGCUGGGAAGUUAUUGACGCUGAGGCACGAAAGCGUGGGGAGCAAACGGGAUUAGAGACCCCAGUAGUCC